AUCGAACGCUGGCGGCAGGCCUAACACAUGCAAGUCGAGCGGACCCUUCGUGGUUAGCGGCUGACGGGUGAGUAGCGCGUGGGAAUAUGCCCUUCUCUACGGGAUAGUCCUGUGAAACGGGGGGUAAUACCGUAUACGCCCUUUUGGUGAAAGAUUUAUCGGGGAAGGAUUAGCCCGCGUUGGAUUAGGUAGGUGGUGUGGUAAUGGCCUACCAAGCCGACGAUCCAUAGCGGGUUUGAGAGGAUGAUCAGCGACACUGGGACUGAGACACGGUCCAGACUCCUACGGGAGGCAGCAGUGGGGAAUCUUAGACAAUGGGGGCAACCCUGAUCUAGCCAUGCCGCGUGAGUGAUGAAGGCCUUAGGGUUGUAAAGCUCUUUAAGCUGGGAAGAUAAUGACGGUACCAGCAGAAGAAGCCCCGGCUAACUCCGUG
rnacentral:rRNA from 1 species